AAUAAGGAAUAAUUGGAAUAGGAUUGUUCAAACCCAAAGGGACUUGCCACAGACCAUACAAAGAUUUCCGGAAAUUGCAUACCUUUGCAGUCCCGGAGACCGAAAAACCUGGAGAAGGUUUCAUAUAGACCUCCUCAUGGAGAUCACCGUGCAGAAAAGCAUUGUAGACAUCCCAUCUAAUGCAAAUUGCCUUUUUUUUGUUUGCAAAUUGCGGAUCCUGUGAAGUCGCUUCUGUCUGCUGAAUACGCUGAAGUUGUGGCUAUUUUAGAGUGUGUAAAUUUCAAGUUGUUCUCUGUUGCCCGUAUUUCUAUCUCUCUACAACUCAUAUGCUGGUUGCAAAAGGAAAGAUGAGUUCUGAGGCUGUUUGUUGGCACUGCACUUGUUCUGUGCUUAUAGUUGUCUCCAUAGUUGGCUUACUGCAAUGGUGGAAGUUGUUGAUAUGCAUUAGGAUCCCAUUGUUACUGGUAUAGAGGACAAGAUUGCAGCCUGGUCCCAAAGGAUUGAUUAUAUCCAUAAGGCAUUUUGUGUGGGCUUUGUGGCAUCUAGGUUGCUUUAGAAAAGGAUUUAUCUAUCCAAUAAGAUCAAGAUAUUGGAAUCCAAUGAGAUUUGAGAGGGCCAAUGUCAUUUUACUAAUGGAGUGUUGACUGAAGUUUAUGAUCUAAAGCGAAGGACAUGAGUAUGAUGCAUGUGCAUAUAAUCAACUAUUCAGAUGCAAUGAGGAUAAUUUUGUUAAUUCUCUUUUCUUAUUUUGGUGAUGAAAAAAAAAUUAUUAAAGGUGUGUAUUGAACAAAGACUAUUAUGAAUGUUUUGUAUAAUUUUGUACAGGUUUUAUCAUA